rnacentral:tRNA from 1 species
GCCAAAAUAGCUCAGUUGGGAGAGCGUUAGACUGAAGAUCUAAAGGUCCCUGUUUCAAUCCUGGGUUUCGCA